UGAGGAAUAUUGGUCAAUGGGCGAGAGCCUGAACCAGCCAAGUAGCGUGAAGGAUGACUGCCCUACGGGUUGUAAACUUCUUUUAUAAAGGAAUAAAGUGAGGCACGUGUGCCUUUUUGUAUGUACCAUAUGAAUAAGGAUCGGCUAACUCCGUGCCAGCAGCCGCGGUAAUACGGAGGAUCCGAGCGUUAUCCGGAUUUAUUGGGUUUAAAGGGAGCGUAGGUGGACAUGUAAGUCAGUUGUGAAAGUUUGCGGCUCAACCGUAAAAUUGCAGUUGAUACUGUGUGUCUUGAGUACAGUAGAGGUGGGCGGAAUUCGUGGUGUAGCGGUGAAAUGCUUAGAUAUCACGAAGAACUCCGAUUGCGAAGGCAGCCUGCUAAGCUGCAACUGACAUUGAGGCUCGAAAGUGUGGGUAUCAAACAGG
rnacentral:rRNA from 1 species